rnacentral:rRNA from 1 species
AGAGUUUGAUCCUGGCUCAGGACGAACGCUGGCGGCGUGCCUAACACAUGCAAGUCGAACGGACGAGGAGGAGCUUGCUUCUCCAAGUCAGUGGCGGACGGGUGAGUAACGCGUGAGUAACCUGCCCUUCAGAGGGGGAUAACGUCUGGAAACGGACGCUAAUACCGCAUGACAUAUUUCCAUCGCAUGGUGGAGAUAUCAAAGGAGCAAUCCGCUGAAGGAUGGACUCGCGUCCGAUUAGAUAGUUGGCGGGGUAACGGCCCACCAAGUCGACGAUCGGUAGCCGGACUGAGAGGUUGAACGGCCACAUUGGGACUGAGACACGGCCCAGACUCCUACGGGAGGCAGCAGUGGGGGAUAUUGCACAAUGGGGGGAACCCUGACGCAGCGACGCCGCGUGCGGGACGGAGGCCUUCGGGUCGUAAACCGCUUUCAGCAGGGAAGAGUCAAGACUGUACCUGCAGAAGAAGCCCCGGCUAACUACGUGCCAGCAGCCGCGGUAAUACGUAGGGGGCGAGCGUUAUCCGGAUUCAUUGGGCGUAAAGCGCGCGUAGGCGGCCCGGCAAGCCGGGGGUCGAAGCGGUGUGAAAGGCAGGGGCUUAACCCCUGGACUGCAUUGGAAACUGCUGUGCUUGAGUGCCGGAGGGGUAAGCGGAAUUCCUAGUGUAGCGGUGGAAUGCGUAGAUAUAAGGAGGAACACCAGUGGCGAAGGCGGCCCUCUGGGCCGAGACCGACGCUGAGGCGCGAAAGCUGGGGGAGCGAACAGGAUUAGAUACCCUGGUAGUCCCAGCCGUAAACGAUGGACGCUAGGUGUGGGGGGACGAUCCCCCCGUGCCGCAGCCAACGCAUUAAGCGUCCCGCCUGGGGAGUACGCCGGCAACGGUGAAACUCAAAGGAAUUGACGGGGGCCCGCACAAGCGGAGGAACAUGUGGUUUAAUUCGAUGAUACGCGAGGAACCUUACCCGGGUUUGAACGCAUUCGGACCGAGGUGGAAACACCUUUUCUAGCAAUAGCCGUUUGCGAGGUGCUGCAUGGUUGUCGUCAGCUCGUGCCGUGAGGUGUCGGCUUAAGUGCCAUAACGAGCGCAACCCUUGCCACUAGUUACUAACAGGUAAAGCUGAGGACUCUGGUGGGACUGCCAGCGUAAGCUGCGAGGAAGGCGGGGAUGACGUCAAAUCAGCACGGCCCUUACAUCCGGGGCGACACACGUGUUACAAUGGC